rnacentral:tRNA from 1 species
GGGCUGUUAGCUCAGUUGGCAGAGCACUGGACUCUUAAUCCACUGGUCGAGGGUUCGACCCCCUCACAGCCCACCA